rnacentral:snRNA from 1 species
AAGUACGGACCGUACACAGAACGAACUAUUCUUUAGCCUUUUACUAAAGAAUCCCGUGUGCUCGCCAUCUAAAGCGGCAUAUUCCUGUUUUUUUGAGGGCUAUUCCUUUGGGAAACU